UUAAGUUGAUGCAAAAGUAAUUGCGGUUUUUGCCAUUGAAAGUAAUGGCAAAAAUUGCAAUUACUUUUGCAUCAAGCUAAUACAAA
rnacentral:miRNA from 1 species